rnacentral:rRNA from 1 species
UACCAGCACCCCGAGUGGUCGGGACGAUUAUUGGGCCUAAAGCAUCCGUAGCCGGUCAUGCAAGUCCUCCGUUAAAUCCACCUGCUUAACAGAUGGGCUGCGGAGGAUACUACAAGGCUAGGAGGCGGAAGAGGCAAGCGGUACUCAGUGGGGUAGGGGUAAAAUCCUCUGAUCCAUUGAAGACCACCAGUGGCGAAGGCGGCUUGCCAAUACGCGCUCGACGGUGAGGGAUGAAAGCUGGGGGGAGCAAACCGG